rnacentral:rRNA from 1 species
UUACGGGAGGCAGCAGUGGGGAAUAUUGGACAAUGGGCGCAAGCCUGAUCCAGCAAUACCGCGUGUGUGAAGAAGGCCUGAGGGUUGUAAAGCACUUUUAAUCGGGAGGAAUAGCUGUCAGCGAAUACCUGGCAGUCUGACAUUACCGAUAGAAAAAGCACCGGCUAACUCCGUGCCAGCAGCCGCGGUAAUACGGAGGGUGCAAGCGUUAAUCGGAAUUACUGGGCGUAAAGCGUGCGUAGGCGGCUGUUUAAGUCAGAUGUGAAAGCCCCGGGCUUAACCUGGGAACGGCAUUUGAUACUGGGCAGCUAGAGUUGAGUAGAGGAGAGGGGAAUUUCAGGUGUAGCGGUGAAAUGCGUAGAGAUCUGAAGGAACACCAGUGGCGAAGGCGCCUCUCUGGACUCAAACUGACGCUGAGGUACGAAAGCGUGGGUAGCAAACAGGAUUAGAUACCCCGGU